AUACGGAGGAUACGAGCGUUAUCCGGAUUUAUUGGGUUUAAAGGGUGCGCAGGCGGCCAUUUAAGUCAGCGGUUAAAUCGUGGGGCUCAACCCCAUUCUGCCGUUGAUACUGGGUGGCUUGAUUGCGGUCGAGGUUGGCGGAAUUCGUUGUGUAGCGGUGAAAUGCAUAGAUAUGACGAAGAACACCGAUUGCGUAGGCAGCUGACCAGACCGCAAAUGACGCUCAUGCACGAAAGUGCGGGGAUCGAACAGGAUUAGAUACCCUGGUAGGCCGCACAGUAAACGAUGAAUACUUGUUUUCGGCGAUAUAAUGUCGGAGGCAAAGCGAAAGCGAUAAGUAUUCCACCUGGGGAGUACGCCGGCAACGGUGAAACUCAAAUGAAUUGACGGGG
rnacentral:rRNA from 1 species